AUUACCUUUAUUCUGUUAUAAUAGUUUUGAACUUCAGCUGUUUGUGGUUGAUCUGGAUUCUCCUGUGUUGUGUGCAGUUGUUUAUCGCCCACCAAAACUCAACAAGAAUUUUAUCAGUGAAUUUUCUGAGU